rnacentral:rRNA from 1 species
GAUGAACGCUGGCGGCGUGCCUAAUACAUGCAAGUCGAGCGACAGGACGAUAAGCUUUCUUCUUUGCUGUUAGCGGCGGACGGGUGAGUAACGAGUGGAUCACCUUCUUCUUAUUCUGGGAUAACUUCGUGAAACCGGUGAUGCUACCGCCUCAUAUUUCGAACCGCAUGGAUCAAAAGUGCAUGACGCCCUUCCCGUCACUAUUAGCCGAUUCCGCGCUGCAUGAGCUAGUUGGUAAGGUAACGGCUUACCAAGGCAACGAUGCGUAGCCGGCCUGAGAGGGUGAUCGGCGACACGGGAACUGAGACACGGGCCAGACUCCUACGGGAGGCAGCAGUGGGGAAUCUUCGGCAAUGGGCGAAAGCCUGACGGAGCAACGCCGCGUGAGUGAGGAAGGUCUUCGGGUGGGAAAGCGCUGUUGUUGGGGAAGAACAGAUGUGGGAGUAGCUGUGCACGUCUUGACGGUACCUAAUCAGAAAGCCACGGCUGACUGCGUG